rnacentral:rRNA from 1 species
UAAUACGGAGGGUCCAAGCGUUAUCCGGAUUUAUUGGGUUUAAAGGGUUCGUAGGCGGGGCAUUAAGUCAGUGGUGAAAUCCUGCAGCUUAACUGUAGAAUUGCCAUUGAUACUGAUGCUCUUGAAUUCACCUGAAGUAGGCGGAACAUGACAUGUAGCGGUGAAAUGCUUAGAUAUGUCAUAGAACACCGAUUGCGAAGGCAGCUUACUAAAGUGAUAUUGACGCUAAGGAACGAAAGCGUGGGGAGCGAACAGGAUUAGAUACCCUGGUAGUCCACGCCGUAAACGAUGAUCACUCGUCAUUGGCGAUACACUGUCAGUGACCAAGCGAAAGUGUUAAGUGAUCCACCUGGGGAGUACGCUCGCAAGAGUG